UCAGAGCCCCCUCCUCACAUCCCCGUCCCUCAGAGCCCCCUCCUCAGAGCCCCCUCCUCAGAGCCCCCUCCUCAGAGCCCCUCCUCAGAGCCCCCUCCUCAUAUCGCCGUCCCUCAGAGCCCCUCCUCAGAGCCCCCUCCUCACAUCCCCGUCCCUCAGAGCCCCGCCCCUCAGCCCCGCCCCUCACAGCCUCACUUUCCCGCCCGCGGAGCGCUAGCGUCGCGGCCUCUCAGGCGCGCCCAGCGGCGGCUCCGAGCUCCGCGGGCCCACUUGCGGGCCUCGCGCUAACGCGGGACGGAGCGGGAGCGGCCCCCGGACGCCCUCCCGCCCAGAGCCGCCGCCCACGCGUCACCACUCCUCCCCGCAAGGGAGCAGUGAACGGCAACAGUCUGAGGGCCGGACGUGGGGGCAGCGGCGCAGCGGUCAUCGCCGUUCCGUGGGGCCAGCCGGGCGACAGUGCGCGCGGCACCGCUUCCUCACGAUUUGGGACUGCGCUGCCUCACGUGGGAGCGGAGCUGACCCGAUGCGGCGGUGACUGCAUGCGUGACUGACGUCUGGCCGUUGCAUUCCUUUGGCCUCUCUCUCUGCGCACGUGGCCGUCAACUAGAGGGCUCUGGUUUCGCCGGGAGACUAACCGCACGAGAAACCGCAAGGCCCGCAGUCACGGGUGGGGCCCCUGCCCACUCAGCAUCUGCCUGCCUGACACAGCGCCACGUGCCCGCCCUCCCCACGCGCCUCCCCGAUGCUGGUGCGGGCCCAGGGGCGGUCGAAGCCUGUGUCCACUCCGACCCCUCGCCGAGGCCCCAGGCGCUGGGUGCUGGGCGCCAACACCUGCAGCAGGGCGUGCCCUGACUCAGGCCUGGGCCGGCUGCGCUUCCUGAGGCGGAUGCACGUGGGGACCCCGUGGCGCGGGGUGGCCAUGUGCUUCGCGUGGGAGCAUCUGGACAUGGGUCUGGAGCCGACACCUGCAGCUGCAUGGGAAGGAGGGGCGAGGGGCACGGAGCACGCCCCUCUGCUGCGCGGGCGAGCACCUGCGAGGCGGCCGCAACCCGAGGUGCCCCGCGCUGCUUGCUGGCAGCUGCUCCUACCCUGCCCUGACGGUGCUCGCGGCUAGGGACGCAGCUUGGAAGAAGUCUGCCUUGUGGUGGUCCUGGCAAGAUGAAGACGGUGGCAAGGGGGCCUUAGGAACCAGGCACCCUUUGUUGGAAGACACGAACCCGGGGAGGGAGAGAUGGAAGGGAAGAGACUGGCUCCCUCGGCGCGGCGUCCCGUGGCUCUCGACAGCUCCCUCACCCACUGUGGCUCCUCCUGGGGUGCACAGCCCGAGUGGCACCUACCUACUGAGUGUGCACCACCCACAGUUCCUGGACCCCAUUUUCCCUCCCUAGCUCAGCCUCUUCUCUCCCAACCUGGGCUGCCCUUUCAGCUGCAGCAAAGGGGUCCCCGGCGUGGAGUCGGCAGGAACAGGUGGAAAAAGUGCCCUCCUGAGUUGGCGGUGGCCAGAGGGGGUGAGCAGCAAGAUGACCACUCCCCUAACACACGUGUCCAUCUUUCCUUAGGGACUCCACCCCCUGUGUGUGCUGCCCUGGCGUGUCCCCUCCAGGCAAGUCAGGGCCCACUCCUUGACCGAUUCCGAUACACUCAGGAGUUGACAUCCACUGACUAGGCUCUCCAGGACCCAAGUGUGAGCAGAUCCUACUGCCCAAAGUGAUGGUGUCAGGAGCUGGAGCUGUUGGAAAGUAAUCAGAUCACAAGGAGAGAACCUCGGUGAAUGGGAUGGGGGCCCCUGUGAAUGAGGGCUGAGGUUUCCCAGUUGCCUUCUGCCACAUGAGGUCACCGUGAGAAGACAUCCCGUAGGAAGGGAUGGGCCAUGACCAGAAACCAAACUGGCCACCAUCUUGAUCUUCAGCUUCCCAGCCUUGAGAACUGUUGUUUAUAGGCACCUAGUGUAUGGUGUUUUGUUAUGGCCGCCUGAAUGGACCAGACAUUUAACAGAAAUCCGAUAAGAAAUAAAGACAUGUGCAAACAGAUCCCCUUACACAAUGCUUACAGCUGUUUUAUUCUUAGAGCCCAAACUAGAAACCCAAAUUUCCACAUGGGAGGACGAACAAAGGACAGCUGAUCCAUAAGAUGCACACUACUCAGCAAGGAGAACUACUGAGUCACCAAGCCCGGCUGAUUCUAAACACAUGACAAAGUGCGUCAGGAGACAGAGGACGCCCUACCUGACCGCGUCAGGAGCUGCUAGAACCAAAGCUAGGACCGAUGGAAGUGGUUAACGCGGCGAAAGUGACACUGACCAGGAGACGGCAGAGGGACCACCUUGAUGUCAGAGCACUAUUUCCUUGACUGUGUGGCAGUUGUAAGGCUGUGGCAAUUUCUCCAAACUGACCACGUGAAAUAUGUUUGUUGAUCCCUCACCACAUGCAGUACCUCCAGCAGUUUCCAAGAAAUGGUGUUCUGUGUGUGCUCAGUUAUCUGCCCCUCCAGGUUUCUAGAGUUGUGGGAAUUUAUUAAGACCAGGAUACGUG